rnacentral:rRNA from 1 species
AUUGAACGCUGGCGGCAUGCUUUACACAUGCAAGUCGAACGGCAGCGCGGGCUUCGGCCUGGCGGCGAGUGGCGAACGGGUGAGUAAUACAUCGGAACGUGCCCAGUAGUGGGGGAUAGAUCGGCGAAAGCCGGAUUAAUACCGCAUACGACCUGAGGGUGAAAGCGGGGGAUCUUCGGACCUCGCGCUAUUGGAGCGGCCGAUGGCAGAUUAGCUAGUUGGUGGGGUAAAGGCCUACCAAGGCGACGAUCUGUAGCUGGUCUGAGAGGACGACCAGCCACACUGGGACUGAGACACGGCCCCGACUCCUACGGGAGGCAGCAGUGGGGAAUUUUGGACAAUGGGCGAAAGCGUGAUCCAGCAAUGCCGCGUGUGUGAUGAAGGCCUUCGGGUUGUAAAGCACUUUUGGCGGGAACGAAAAGGACUGUGCCAAUACCACGGUUCGAUGACGGUACCCGCAGAAUAAGCACCGGCUAACUACGUG